AGCUGCGUGGUGAGCACAAAGCGAACUAUUCUUUCGCCUUUUACUAAAGAAUAACUAAGCAGCAUACCCUAAUUUUUGAAGGGUGUCUUCUCCUUGUGAGAAGGC
rnacentral:snRNA from 1 species